CGGUAAUUCCAGCUCCACUAGUAUAAAUCGUCAUUGCUGCGGUUAAAAAGCUCGUAGUUGGAUUUGAGGCACGUACAGCGGUUCGGCUCUGCCGUUAAUCACUGUUGUGUCUAAUUUGUUGGUUUUCUGUUGGUAACUUCGGUUCCUUCAGUGGCUAGCAAGUUUACCUUGAUCAAAUCAAAGCGCUCAAAGCAGGCGAUUGCUUGCAUUUGGGAUCAUGGAAUAAUAAAAUAGGAUUUCGAUUCUAUUUAUUGGUUUAGAAUUGAAUUAAUGAUUAAGAGAGACAAUUCGGGAGCAUUCGUAUCCCUGCGCGAGAGGUGAAAUUCGUGGACCGCAGGGGGACGUCCAAAAGCGAAAGCAUUUGCCAAGAAUGUCUUCAUUAAUCAAGAACCGAAAGUCAGAAGGUUCCGAAAGGCGAUUAGAUACCGCCCUAAGUUCUGACCGUAAACUAUUGCCAUCUAGCGAUCCGAUAGGGUAUUCAUGCCUUGUCGGGGAGCUUCCCGGAAACGAAAGUUUUUCGGUUCCCGGGGGUAGUAUGGUUGCAAAGCUGAAACUUAAAGAAAUUUGACCGAAGGGCACCACCAGGAGUGGAAGCCUGCGGCUUAA
rnacentral:rRNA from 1 species